UAACCGUGAAACGCCGCAAAGG
rnacentral:misc_RNA from 1 species